rnacentral:rRNA from 1 species
GAACGGCAGCACGGGAGCAAUCCUGGUGGCGAGUGGCGAACGGGUGAGUAAUAUAUCGGAACGUGCCCAGUCGUGGGGGGUAACGCAGCGAAAGCUGUGCUAAUACCGCAUACGAUCUAUGGAUGAAAGCGGGGGAUCGCAAGACCUCGCGCGAUUGGAGCGGCCGAUAUCAGAUUAGGUAGUUGGUGGGGUAAAGGCUCACCAAGCCGACGAUCUGUAGCUGGUCUGAGAGGACGACCAGCCACACUGGAACUGAGACACGGUCCAGACUCCUACGGGAGGCAGCAGUGGGGAAUUUUGGACAAUGGGCGCAAGCCUGAUCCAGCAAUGCCGCGUGCAGGAUGAAGGCCUUCGGGUUGUAAACUGCUUUUGUACGGAGCGAAAAGGCUCUCUCUAAUACAGGGGGCUCAUGACGGUACCGUAAGAAUAAGCACCGGCUAACUACGUGCCAGCAGCCGCGGUAAUACGUAGGGUGCAAGCGUUAAUCGGAAUUACUGGGCGUAAAGCGUGCGCAGGCGGUUUUGUAAGACAGAUGUGAAAUCCCCGGGCUUAACCUGGGACCUGCAUUUGUGACUGCAAAGCUGGAGUACGGCAGAGGGGGAUGGAAUUCCGCGUGUAGCAGUGAAAUGCGUAGAUAUGCGGAGGAACACCGAUGGCGAAGGCAAUCCCCUGGGCCUGUACUGACGCUCAUGCACGAAAGCGUGGGGAGCAAACA